rnacentral:rRNA from 1 species
UACGAAGGGGCUAGCGUUGCUCGGAAUCACUGGGCGUAAAGCGCACGUAGGCGGAUCUUUAAGUCAGGGGUGAAAUCCCAAGGCUCAACCUUGGAACUGCCUUUGAUACUGGGGAUCUCGAGUCCGGAAGAGGUGAGUGGAACUGCGAGUGUAGAGGUGAAAUUCGUAGAUAUUCGCAAGAACACCAGUGGCGAAGGCGGCUCACUGGUCCGGUACUGACGCUGAGGUGCGAAAGCGUGGGGAGCAAACAGG